CCUACGGGUGACUGCAGUGGGGAAUAUUGCACAAUGGGGGGAACCCUGAUGCAGCGACGCCGCGUGGGUGAAGGAGUAUUUCGGUAUGUAAAGCCCUAUCAGCAGGGAAGAACAAUGACGGUACUUGACUAAAAAGCACCGGCUAAAUACGUGCCAGCAGCCGCGGUAAUACGGAUGGGGCAAGCGUUACCCGGAUUUACGGGGUGUAAAGGGAGCGCAGGCGGCGCGUUAAGCCGGGUGUGAAAGCCCGCGGCCCAACCGCGGGAGUGCAUUGGGAACUGGCGCGCUGGAGUGCAGGAGGGGUAGGCGGAAUUCCUGGUGUAGCGGUGAAAUGCGUAGAUAUUAGGAGGAACACCAGUGGCGAAGGCGGCCUACUGGACGGUAACUGACGCUGAGGCUCGAAAGCGUGGGGAGCAAACAGGAUUAGAUACCCCAGUAGUC
rnacentral:rRNA from 1 species